rnacentral:rRNA from 1 species
UACGUAGGGUGCGAGCGUUAAUCAGAAUUACUGGGCGUAAAGCGUGCGCAGGCGGUUGUGUAAGACAGAUGUGAAAUCCCCGGGCUCAACCUGGGAACUGCAUUUGUGACUGCACAGCUGGAGUGCGGCAGAGGGGGAUGGAAUUCCGCGUGUAGCAGUGAAAUGCGUAGAUAUGCGGAGGAACACCGAUGGCGAAGGCAAUCCCCUGGGCCUGCACUGACGCUCAUGCACGAAAGCGUGGGGAGCAAACAGG